rnacentral:rRNA from 1 species
GUGAAGUCAGUGCGGGGGCGAGGGGAAAGAGGAGGGGGGCAAGGGGUGUCCGGAUUUAGUGGGCGUAAAGGGCUGGGAGGCGGCCAGGUAGGUCCGUUGUGAAAACGCGAGGCUCAACCUCGGGACGUCGGCGGAAACCCUCUGGCUAGAGUCCGGAAGAGGAGAGUGGAAUUCCUGGUGUAGCGGUGAAAUGCGCAGAUAUCAGGAAGAACACCCGUGGCGAAGGCGGCUCUCUGGGACGGUACUGACGCUGAGACGCGAAAGCGUGGGGAGCAAACAGGAUUAGAUACCCUAGUAGUC